GUUUGUAUUUGUAGUACUUUAGUUCCUUGAAAUUAUCUUUGGAAAACGAACGUGUAAUUUUCGUUCUACAACGCAUUGACAGAUUAAUCAGUAGAAUUUGAUCUUAGAUUUUAUAAUUUACUCCCCUUGCUAUUCAAUUUUGUACUUUUUGAUUAUCAGAAGUUGCCUUUGAAUUCCUCAUAAUGGGUAGCGAAUCGUUUACCGUCAGUUUUUCACGCGGGAUACCUGUGACCUUCCACCACCAGAUACAGUAAAUGGGAGAGCAAGGAUGACUCAUCCACAACAUUUGUUUGAGUGGUAACAUUUUAACUAUUGAUUUUUUUAAUUACGUCUCAUAUUGAGACCUCUUGUACUCUCUCAGGCUUCACUUGUGGGACUACAUUGGGUAUGUUAUUUUUUUCAAGGGUCAUUUAACUAAUUGGUCAAUGUCAUUAUCGUACUAAGAGAAUUAACUAAUGCAUACUUCAGUGAA